rnacentral:rRNA from 1 species
UUACGGUCAAAUCACGCUGAAACACCGGUUCUCGUACGAUCACCGAAGUUAAGCAGCGUAGGGCCAGGUCAGUACUUAGAUGGGGGACCGCUUGGGAACACCUGGUACUGUAAG